ACCCAUAAAACGAGGGAGACUGGACUAAGCCCAUGGUCCUCAAUCUUUUUUCCCACAGAGCCAUGAAGGGAAUGGACCCAUGAAGGACAAUGCCCACAGGAGGGUGCACUGGGGUGUCCAGUGGCUACCAGACGCAUGACAUCAUGACAGACUGAAUGCGGACACAGAUCUGAGAAUCCAGCUGACUUCUGGGCCACACAUUAAAACAAAGACACUUUUCUCAUUAAUUUUUUUGAAAAAUAUUUAAAAAAACAUUAUUUCUGUUGA